CGGGCUGUGGCGCAGUUUGGUAGCGCACUUGACUGGGGGUUAAGUGGGUUUACCCCGCUCUGGUCGGCCCGA
rnacentral:tRNA from 2 species